CUUAAAUCUACACAGAAGGUGGUUGGUUACUCCCAUGACGGUUGAGCCACUACUGGACCAGUGGACAUGCCUUGCCAGGGUUCACAGCUCAAUGAGAUUGGUGAUUCCUUUUCUCUGGUCGCAUGCAUAGAGCAUCCCAGUGUUCUGGAAGUAGGAAUGAAGAGUCCAAGUGAGUACCAACCUGAUGGCCUCCCUGUUCUAUGACUCAGGUGUGUGGCAUAACAAGUGGAAAGCCUGGUGCUGAGAAUGGGUUACCUCUUUUGGAGUUGUUGGCAAGUGAGUUCCCACAGAUGCCCAAACAUGUCCUGUUGCCAGUGGUUGCUCCCUGGAGCCCACUGCCCGGAUGCCAGGCUUUGGAGCUUUGUAGAAGAGCUUGAUAAUGCCUCACCUCAAAAGGCAGAAGUUGUCUGGUAAGCUGAAGAGGCAGACCUACGCAUGAAGACCAUCUUGUUUCUGAUGUGUGCUUUGAUCUGUCCAGACUUCCAUUCCUCACUGACAUCCGUUCACCCAUAAUAGCCUAAGUCAUAUCAAACCUUGCACCAUCUAACCUGCAACAGGAAAAGCCUGUUUCCUGGAUAUAUAACUCUAUUUUUAAAGCUUGUAAAAGUUGCUGUCUUCCCUAUAUAUUUAAUUCUGUUUUAUCUUGUUCUUUUAGCUUUGAGGCCACAGGAAAAUACUGAGUUUCUUUAAGUUCCAAGAUUGCCAGUUGUCGUAUCCUAGGCAGCUCGGGUUCCAGAACCCUGGCUAGGGGUGGCGGGGGAAUGAGGAAAGGAGACACAUGCAUGGAGAACAUGUACUGUGAAGCACACAUGCACAGAUAACAUGUACCAUGAAGCACAUGCACAGGUAACAUACUGUGAAACACACAUGCACAGAUAACAUGUACCAUGAAACACACAUGCACAGAUAACAUGUACCAUGAAACACAUGCACAGGUAACAGGUACCAUGAAACACACAUGCACAGAUAACAUGUACCAUGAAGCACACAUGCACAGAUAACAUGUACCAUGAAACACACAUGCACAGAUAACAUGUACCAUGAAGCUCACAUGCACAGAUAACAUAUACUGUGAAACACACAUGCACAGGUAACAUGUCUUGUGAAGCUAGGAUCAGCUGGCUCUGUG
rnacentral:lncRNA from 1 species